CUUAGUUAGGUAAAGAGACGAUAAGUCCCUCAAAGCUUAAAAAUUUAUAGUUGGGGCAACUGAGG
rnacentral:tRNA from 1 species